rfam:Aerococcus viridans ATCC 11563 = CCTG 4311 strain ATCC 11563 contig00102, whole genome shotgun sequence.
UAGUGACAUUUGGGGUGCCGAAAGCUGAGAUUAUACCCAUUGAACCUGACACAGUUAAUACUGGCGAAGGGAAAUGUAAAAAUGUUUAU